GGUAACCUUAAGGGAACAGAGAGUAGGUUUCACGAUGGCAAUUACUUUUCAUGUCUAUAGUCAUCCAGAAUAUAUCCCAGAAGAUUUGGAGUGUGGAACACCAACUAAAUCCAGAGAGCCUCUGUGCUUGGAUUAGCUCCACUGGGCAUGAAACAAGACACCCCCCUGCCCCUCCAUGUUUUAGAAAAAUUGUGUCAAGUUUCAACAAGAAUUCUCCAGUAUUCCUGCCUGGAGAAUUCCAUGGAGAGAGGAGCCUGACAGGCCAGAGUCCAUGGGAUCGCAGUCAGACACGACUGAAUGACUCACAGAAAUUCUGUGUCACAGAAAUAACAUUCACAUGUUUAGGACAUGACAAUAUCUCACCCGGACUCUUGUCAAAUUCUUUCCGGAGAGUGAAGCAAAGAAUAACAAGCCGAAGACUCUGA
ensembl:lincRNA